UGGCAAUCUGUUAGGGUUUGUGUCUGUCGUGUGGAAGCUUUGUUCAUUCGUCUUUUGCAAUAAAUCUUGCUACUGCUCAGUCUUUGGGUCCACACUGCUUUUAUGAGCUGUAGCAGUCACCACGAAGGUCUGCAGCUGCACUCCUGAGGCUAGCGAGACCACGAACCCACCGGGAGGAGCGAACGACUCCAGACGCGCUGACUUAAGAGCUGUAACAGCUUACCGCUAAGGUCUGCAGCUUCACUCCUGAGCCAGAGAGACCAGGAACCCACCUAGAAGGAACAAACUCCGGACAUGCCGCCUUUAAGAGCUGUAACACUCACCGCCAGGGUCCGCAGCUGCAUUCUUGAAGUCAGUGAGACCAAGAACCCACCAAUUCCAGACACACUGUCAUCAAAAAGUGGGAUAUCUUUUUAAACAGAGAUAACAUUGCAGAAUCUUGGAGUUGGAAAUAGACCUCAGCUGGGGUUUAGUCCUGUUUUCUCCUCAGAGCAGAAGUCCUGGGAUGCCGUUCUGGACUGAUUGUCAGUUUUUUCUCCUGUCCUUGAGCUAUUCUAAUGCCAGACAUCUGUGGCUUUACACAGCCAGGCUUUCAGUUAGAGAACUUGGUUAGCUCAGGUCAACAAAUGCUGCUCUGAGAACACUGACUCCCAUGUGGGGAGACUCUGCACCUGGAGCUCCGGGAGAGCCGGCUCAGGCCUCUUCCUGCUAUCCAGGGAACUGCAGUGGCGUUGGAGGGCCUUGCUGGGGCUGGGGCUGGGGAGAAGGGAUUCCAACCCUACUGAUAAUUCGUUUGGAAACACCGGGCUGUGGAUUUCAGAAGUUCUUGGGCAGCCUGAUUACCACUGGCAGUGAGCCGGGGACGAAGCCGAAGCUAUGAGUGACAGACGGAAAGAACUGGGGGCUUUGGUGAACCAGAGAACACUUAGCUCCUCCAGCCCUGAAGCAGGCGUCACCGCAGGGCUUAUGGUCCUAAGAGCCACUUAGUUUCCUUAUUCAUUAAACUAGUUUAAUUUGGGUUUUCUGCAUCCUGGAGGACACCAAGUCGGUGUGCGGAGGGACCCUGUAGACACGUGUGCAAAGAAUAAGCCGACGAUCAUGGAAUUUCUGAUGACGCCACUGACACGUGGGAUGGAGGCCUCCUUCCCAGGGCACCCCUACACUCAUGACAAUGAAUCCUGGCUCUUAUUCACCCCUUUGGAUUUCACAAGCAAGUAAGAAAAGAGAAGGACAGAAUUAAACAUGGGGACAGAUGAAGAAGUAAAGAAGAUGAAAAUGAGGAAGAUAAAAAACAAACUGAAGACACAAUGUGAACCCUGGGAAUUCAAGGCUGAAUAGUACGAAGUCCUUUCCUCACAGAGUUCAGGACCCAGGAGUGGAGGCCAGAUAAGGAUACGCUGUCUCUUCAUAGAAACUUUCUCCAGUGCUCGCCUGCCCACAGACCUGGUUAGAGGCCCCGCUUUUUAUGGCCCCCCGGACUUAACCACGUCACAGAAAUCAUCACAUUGUGUUGAGCCUCCUGGGUUUCUUUGGACUGGAAGCUCCCUGAGGGCAGGGUUAUCUUGUUCGUCCUUUCAUCCCCAGGGCCUGGCAUAAGACCUGGCGAAGAGCUGCUGCAUGCUAAAGCUUUGCUAAUUGAAUGACUGUGUGUUAUUUCUUAAAUUCAAUGAGAAAUCACUCUACAAAGUCCAGGAGAAUGAAAGUCUCAAUAACCGAGCUUUCUCUCCCCUGAGCACCUACACAGGAAACUCAAUUACAGUUGCAAGAGGCCUCGAAGACCUGCAGGAUUUAGAAGAAUCCAGGCAUCUCCGGGCCCCUGGCUGGGGCUUCUGCAUCUGACAAUAGAGAUGGCUUUGCUCAGGGGAAGAAUACUUUGGGCUCUGACUCACUCCAUGAGCACUGGGUAAGCAACGUCCACCUUGGUGGCUCUUGCUAUAAUUUGUCUGUGUGUUCAGACCCAGUCCUUCCCUCCCAAACUGCUGACAGCGGUUUUCUUCGGUUAUGCUAAUAUCCCCCACUAUGUUCAAGUUGAGUUUUGUAGACAUGCCAGCUGCUCUGUUUCUUUACGUUGAUUUUCUCGCUCUGCCCUAAUAUGUGCUCAUUUCAUAGGUGGACUCUCUACAAUCAAUCUUUUAAUUUUUUAAAUGUUCAAGUUAUUGAGGGACACCUUCCUGAGAGGCGUCCAUUGUAAACGACAGCUUAUCACUGAUAUUAUCAUAUGAAAGCUAUUGUUGUAGGACUUUCUCUUUAGGGCCCAUGUCACAUGGCCAUGAGAGAUUAGGGUCACAGAGAUUUUGAAGGGUGAGAAAAAUGGAAUUUAUCGGGCC
rnacentral:lncRNA from 10 species